ACGUGGGUGAUCUGCCCUGCACUUUGGGAUAAGCCUGGGAAACUGGGUCUAAUACCGAAUAUGACCAUGCGCCUCCUGGUGUGUGGUGGAAAGCUUUUGCGGUGUGGGAUGGGCCCGCGGCCUAUCAGCUUGUUGGUGGGGUAAUGGCCUACCAAGGCGACGACGGGUAGCCGGCCUGAGAGGGUGACCGGCCACACUGGGACUGAGAUACGGCCCAGACUCCUACGGGAGGCAGCAGUGGGGAAUAUUGCACAAUGGGCGCAAGCCUGAUGCAGCGACGCCGCGUGAGGGAUGACGGCCUUCGGGUUGUAAACCUCUUUCAGCACAGACGAAGCGCAAGUGACGGUAUGUGCAGAAGAAGGACCGGCCAACUACGUGCCAGCAGCCGCGGUAAUACGUAGGGUCCGAGCG
rnacentral:rRNA from 1 species